UGACUAUAUCACAAUGAAACACCAGUUCUCAUAUGAUCACUGAAGUUAAGCAACAUUGAGCCUGGUCAGUACCUAGAUGGGUGAACAAUUGGGAAUGCCACAGGUGCUGUA